GCAGGGAAUCGUUCAUUUCCACUAUGUUUCCACUCUACUUUUUUAUUAUCUUUUAAUUUUUUGUUAUUUCUUUUAUUAUUAUCUUUAUCUUUUUCUUAUCUUUGGAUUGCCCAUCAAAAUUCAGAAAAUCAAAUUAUUGACCAACGUACUUGUGGAGCUAGGUCAAAUUUUAAAACAUUAAAAAAAAUUGUACUCCUUCUGUCCUGACUAUCUUGAGACCUUUUUG
rnacentral:lncRNA from 1 species